rnacentral:rRNA from 1 species
UAGGGAAUCUUCCACAAUGGACGCAAGUCUGAUGGAGCAACGCCGCGUGAGUGAAGAAGGUUUUCGGAUCGUAAAGCUCUGUUGUUGGUGAAGAAGGAUAGAGGUAGUAACUGGCCUUUAUUUGACGGUAAUCAACCAGAAAGUCACGGCUAACUACGUGCCAGCAGCCGCGGUAAUACGUAGGUGGCAAGCGUUGUCCGGAUUUAUUGGGCGUAAAGCGAGCGCAGGCGGAAGAAUAAGUCUGAUGUGAAAGCCCUCGGCUUAACCGAGGAAUUGCAUCGGAAACUGUUUUCUUGAGUGCAGAAGAGGAGAGUGGAACUCCAUGUGUAGCGGUGGAAUGCGUAGAUAUAUGGAAGAACACCAGUGGCGAAGGCGGCUCUCUGGUCUGCAACUGACGCUGAGGCUCGAAAGCAUGGGUAGCGAACAGGAUUAGAUACCCUGGUAGUCCAUGCCGUAAACGAUGAGUGCUAAGUGUUGGGAGGUUUCCGCCUCUCAGUGCUGCAGCUAACGCAUUAAGCACUCCGCCUGGGGGAGUACGACCGCAAGGUUGA